rnacentral:rRNA from 1 species
UACGGAGGGUGCUAGCGUUGUUCGGAAUUACUGGGCGUAAAGGGCGCGUAGGCGGCCGUUUGCGUCGGAUGUGAAAGCCCGGGGCUCAACCUCGGAACGGCAUUCGAUACGGGACGGCUGGAGACCGGGAGAGGAGAGUGGAAUAGCCAGUGUAGAGGUGAAAUUCGUAGAUAUUGGCUGGAACACCGGUGGCGAAAGCGGCUCUCUGGCCCGGUUCUGACGCUGAGGCGCGAGAGCGUGGGGAGCGAACCGG